GGCUGUAAGGGUGAUCUCGCUGUGACACCUCUCACUUUGCUGCUAGCACCGUUGAUUUGGCUGAUCUGGCUGGGUAGGUGGGUGUCCCCUUCCGCCCUCCUUGUUCCAGGUGCAUCCCUCCAGAAGCUGUGUGUUCGGAUGCUUGGAGAGGAUGGCUUUCGCUGAUAGAGGAGGACCAGUCUUGGUCAAGGCUAUGUGAGAUGCACUACCCCUUAGAACCUCCAAUCAAUCUCUGGGGAGUCUGUCCACGUGUUUGAAAAAGAUGCGGCCACUAGGAGAUGCCUCUUGU
rnacentral:snRNA from 1 species